UGGGGAAUAUUGGACAAUGGGCGCAAGCCUGAUCCAGCCAUGCCGCGUGAGUGACGAAGGUCUUCGGAUUGUAAAGCUCUUUUUGGCGGGGACGAUAAUGACGGUACCCGCAGAAUAAGCCCCGGCUAACUUCGUGCCAGCAGCCGCGGUAAUACGAAGGGGGCUAGCGUUGUUCGGAAUUACUGGGCGUAAAGCGCACGUAGGCGGACUGAUAAGUCAGGGGUGAAAUCCCGGGGCUCAACCUCGGAACUGCCUUUGAUACUGUUAGUCUCGAGUCCGGAAGAGGUGAGUGGAAUUCCUAGUGUAGAGGUGAAAUUCGUAGAUAUUAGGAAGAACACCAGUGGCGAAGGCGGCUCACUGGUCCGGUACUGACGCUGAGGUGCGAAAGCGUGGGGAGCAAACAGGAUUAGAUACCCAGGUAGUCCCUGAGCGGGCUGGCAAGGCGCAU
rnacentral:rRNA from 1 species